UUAAUCGUGCUAAAGAGUUCACAAAAUCUGCAGUUUUAAUGAAUCUGGAAUCUAGAAUGAUUGCAUCUGAAGAUAUCGGUAGGCAGGUUUUGACAUAUGGAGAGAGGUAAACUUGAGAUGAUUUUUUAUUUUCUCAGUUAGGAAACCCAUGCCUUCUAGCAUUCUUAUAAUUUUUCAAUACUUGUAGCCCCAACCAUAAUGAAUUGGCGAAAUUGAUGAUGUAUUUUGUUUUGUUUUUCCAAUCUAAGAUAUGGAGCAGAAGAGUAGGUUUGAUUGGUGUGUUAGAGAGAGUUUCUCAUAGUUUUUCGGUGGAUUUUAUGUGGAGCCAAAGAGGAGAGGAGAGUAGUUGGGGCUUGAAGAUAUUUUGGCUAUUGCUCUCAAAAUGAACCCAUCAAAAGAAGUCAACACUCUCUAUGGACCACAUACAAUUCAAGAGAUAUACUUAAUUGAUGAAAGUUGUAGCUUCAAACCAGUAUGUUUGAUGAUGUGGGGACAUAAAGUCCACGAUGAAUGCUUACAAAUAGAAUAAGUAAUCAAAGACAGACUCAUAAUAUUGAUUUAAGGCUAUCUCUAUCGUCACGCGACACGAGUACCUUCAAAAUCAAUCCUCAACUCCCCGAGGCAGAAACACUGAAGGAAUGGGCGGAGAGUAACGAAACAGAAAUUAAAAACUCAAUAGCAAACUGCUUGACAUGUGAAUCUUCUCCAAAAAUUUUUGUUGGAUUACACGAAAUAGUAACUAACAUCUAAAUUUCAGAGUUGGCGAAAAAUCUGCAACUGAAUGAGGUAAAAACUACUACAAUAUUUACUUUAUAAAACUUUUAUUUCAAUAUCUUACUAUUAUUAAUACCAUUUGAUUUGGAUGUGGAAAAAAUAUUUUUGGAUUGAUAGGCUCUCCAGAGUUUUUAUUACAUGUCAUGUGACGCAUGUCAUAAAAAAAUAGAUUUAUACAAUCGCAAUGAAAAAUCAUAUGUAACAAGCCAACAUGCGCCCAAGAAGGAUUUCCUACACCACGGUAUAUUACAAAAAACUUAUGAUGUUAUUGAAAUUAAGUUAAAAUUAAAAAAGAUACUAACAAUCUUAUUAUGCAUUUUACAGUGCUAUAACAUAUGUUGAACUUGAUGACAAUACAAAUAGCCUAUCUGCUGUCAUGUUCGCAGAUAUUGUGCAAAAAAUAUUUUCGUGUACUACUGCCCAACUAAUGAAAUAUACUGCAGAGGAACACCGCCGCUUUAUCGACACUACCAUAUUCAAUUUAUCAACGAAAAAAUAGACAAUCCAGAUAUAUGCGGACCCGACUAGAAUGAAAAGUGCAAAAUACAAAAAUUACACUAUUGUCUCUAUCGAAGCAAAUGAAGAUUAAAAUCCACCAAUGACUAUCAUUAGUUUUCUUAUCUGCAAUUUUUAGACAAAUGCUAUCUUCAAUUAUCAACAAUUUAGAGAUUGAUUUUUAAUUUUCUUUUUAUCUUACACCCAUUUAAGUAAUGUUUCUUUAA